AGUAUUCAGUAUAUUCAAUUGGUUAGGUUAGGUUAGGUUAGGUUAGGUUAGGUUAGGUUACUUUACUAAAUUAUUACUUUAUUAUACUAUACUUUACUUAACCCACCCAAAUCCCCUAUUUUCCUCACUUUACUCACUCACUCAUAUUUUCAUUCACUUUACUUUACUAAAUUAUUACUUUAUUAUACUAUACUUUACUUUACCCACCCAAAUCCCCUAUUUUCCUCGCUUUGCUCGGGCUCCGUCCCGUUUAGUUUCUUCAGUAGUAUAAUUAUAAGUUAAGUUAAAUAAGAUUAAGUUAAGUUAAGUUAGUUAAGUAAAAAUAUUAAGUAUACUUUGGUCGGGUAAAAUAGACUUUUACCUGAAGAUCUAAAGUUUAUUUGUAGCUUAAUGCCAGACCAGCUCUGAUUGGAUUUGUAUCAUUCUCUUCCACUUACGAUGGACCCUUAAAAGAUUCUUAAGUCAGCAAGAUUCACCAUGAUUAUCCAGCCAGUUAUUCAUCACAUGAUGCAGUUGUUGUUGGUGCUCGUGGAGCUGGAUUUUGUGCAGAUUUUGGUUGACUCGCAGGCAUCAUAAAUCUUCAAUAGGUGUUGUUCGAUCUUGAUGAAAUGAAUCCUAUCAAGUUACGUUAUAGGGCACAGGAAUCCCUUUCUGGAAGUCCACUGGGAAUAUGUGUUGAAAGCGGCAAAACUCUUCUGAUGGUACCAUCAAAGAGAGAGAAAGACAUCAGAUGAACAUCGAGGUUAUUCUGACUUACCAUCACUGAUUUUAAAUUACUAUCCUGUUUAUUGAGUUUCUAUCCUGUAACAGAUCCCACCACCACCCCCCAGACCAGAAUUUGAUAGUUCUAGGGAGAAGUUGCAGAAACUUGGAGAAGGAGAGGUUUCAAUGACGGCAAAGGAAUUCAAUAAGAUGAAGCUAAAGCUAGAAGCGGAGGCUUUGGCCACAUAAAAAAAAAAAAAAGUUGCUUUGCAUGAAGUUUUCUUAAGCAGACUGGAGAAUCAUCCCAUAUUCAGAGCUGAUACGAUUUUUCGUGUUUUUCUUGAAUACGAACAAGAUUUGUCCGUACGAGAAAAAAACAAAAAGGAGAAACUGUUAGAUCGUUUUCUACAACGACUGAGAGAUAUUGCUUGGGUCUACAUAAAAGGACGUUGACGAGUUUUUCGACAAGGAAAAGAACUUUAUCCUAGAUUAUCAAUCACUGUUAAAAGAUGCAACUUUUAGGGCUGACAAGUUGACCGAAGCUCAUAAAGAUUUUCCAUCGGGAACAUUACUUUGAAAAUGUUUCAGGAACUUUCCACUCUUCACACACAAGCAGUAGCCUCCACAGAUAUCCAGUCCUUUGAAGACUCUAAAAUAAAGAGGGAAUUAAAAUUGUUUAAUGAAAUGUACAAGCAACUUUUUUCUCAUUAUCUUAUACUUCUCUAAUUCAGCUGACAUUUCUCUACUGGACCAGUCUCGAUAGUAGCUUACUGAACGAAUACCUAGUGACAUUCUGGAUAAUUCCUCCAAGACUUGUUCGAUGGGACAGAUAUAAUUACUUGGCACAGUAAUUUUUCAUCAUGCAACAGAAAAGCUGCUCGCAAGGCUUACUAAGAUUUUCUUUUCCUUUUUGUUUCCGUUGUAGAACUGGAAGCCCAUUUUUCCCUGGAAAUAUAACAACAAUUUCUUAACAAAUCAUUGAACAAGAA